UACGAAGGGGGCUAGCGUUGCUCGGAUUGACUGGGCGUAAAGGGCGCGUAGGCGGAUAGUACAGUCAGGCGUGAAAUUCCUGGGCUCAACCUGGGGGCUGCGUUUGAUACGUAUUGUCUGGAGUUCGGAAGAGGGUCGUGGAAUUCCCAGUGUAGAGGUGAAAUUCGUAGAUAUUGGGAAGAACACCGGUGGCGAAGGCGGCGACCUGGUCCGAUACUGACGCUGAGGUGCGAAAGCGUGGGGAGCAAACAGG
rnacentral:rRNA from 1 species